UACGUAGGGCGCAAGCGUUGUCCGGAAUUAUUGGGGCGUAAAGAGCUCGUAGGCGGCUUGUCACGUCGGGUGUGAAAGCCCGGGGCUUAACCCCGGGUCUGCAUUCGAUACGGGCUAGCUAGAGUGUGGUAGGGGAGAUCGGAAUUCCUGGUGUAGCGGUGAAAUGCGUAGAUAUCGGAAGGAACAUCAGUGGCGAAAGCGACUUCCUGGACCAGUACCGACGUCAGGCACGAAAGCGUGGGGAGCAAACAGG
rnacentral:rRNA from 1 species